GAAUGAGAGGGCCAUCUGGCUGGAGCAUCUGUUACUGAACUGGUUGCCAGGAUUGUUUCUACUGAUCUGACUGGCUAAGUGGGCAUCCCUUUCUUUUUAUGUCAUUCCCUCCCAAAGCCUAUGGACAAAAUGACCAAGAGUAUAUGAAUCUUGAUGCUUGCUUGCUGGAAACUCAAAACAAGCUCUUUUCUCAAGGGGCCACCACAGUAAUGCUUUUUAUGCCCUACCACUUAUAGAGGUAGAGAGUAGGUCUCAAUCCAUUCUGGGAUGGAAU
rfam:Myotis lucifugus cont2.17344, whole genome shotgun sequence.